rnacentral:lncRNA from 1 species
CGGAAAUUGAAGAGGGAAAUCCCAGAAUGGCUGAAACCACAGUAGAGAGAAAACUGAGGUACAGAGAGACUAAGUAGAGGUCGGUUAUAAAGAGCUGAUAAAGCAGACUUGGAUCUCAAGAUCAACUUGAAGGAAAUCCUGACACUUUUCUGGAAUUAUUCAUUGGGAGGGGGCGAACUGUUGCUUGAAGGACGCCCUGGAGACGAAGAGAACUUGGGUGUGAGUGGUGUGCUGUCUUCCCUGCUCUUGUGGGUGCUCCUAGAAGCUCCAAGCUGCCGUGGGGCACCAUCCUGGCUUUCCCUUUCUCUUGUAAGGUGCAUUUGAUUCAAGACACACCUGACGUGACCUGUUGAGCAUGCACUGUACAUCUGCUUCAAACAUUUACAACGUUCCAGAGCCAAGAAAGAUGCUCUCAGAUCCUAAGGGGCUAAAACAAGGUCCAGAAAAUUGGUGGCAAUCAAUAAGUUUAUUGUUAACUACAUGACGAGGAAACCGAUGCUUUGUGAAUUCAGAUAUGCUGGGGCAAAUUACUUUUACUUAUUUAUGAGUUGCCGGGUUUCAUUAUCAAAUGAAUCUUCACAUCCAUACAUCUCACCUUCUAUGCUGGCUCCAGCGAUGAUGUGCUCUCUUUCCAUCUGGCAGGAAACAAACAAAACAAAAUAAAAUACAAACAAAA